GAUGAACGCUGACAGCAUGCUUAACACAUGCAAGUCAACUGUGGCGGACGGGUGAGUAACGCGUAAAGCACUUGCCUCACGGAUAGGGACAACAUUUGGAAACGAAUGCUCAUACCUGAAACUGUGAGAGAGCUUUGCGUCCCAUUAGCUAGUUGGAGAGGUAACGGCUCACCAAGGCGAUGAUGGGUAGCCGGCCUGAGAGGGUGAUCGGCCACAAGGGGACUGGGACACGGCCCGUACGCCUACUGGAGGCAGCAGUGGGGAAUAUUGGACAAUGGACCAAAGUCUGAUGCAGCAAUUCUGUGUGCACGAUGAAGUUUUCGGAAGGUAAAGUGCUUGCAGUUGGGAAGCGGUACCAACAGAAGAAGUGACGGCUAAAUACGUGCCAGCAGCCGCGGUAAUUC
rnacentral:rRNA from 1 species